rnacentral:misc_RNA from 1 species
GCAAUACGGAGGCUGUGUCAGUCUGCAAAAGAGAAAAAUACCACACCGCAUACAUCCAAAGUCAUGUUGUCUUGUCUUCUUUAUAGUUAAAAAAGAAACCCUAGUUCCCAAAAUAAAUUUAGAAGAAAUUCAUCAAAAGAAAAAAGAAAAUCAACCCUUUUUUUUUUUGUAAAAAAAAUCUUCUUUUUUAUGGGUAUCCUCAUAAAGAGUUAUUGUUGUUUUAUUCCAUUUAUGCUCGCAAGAUCUAGUUUCUUUAAGGCUUUCUUAAUUAACCAAAUUAAUUGGUUAAAGCCUAAUUACCUUCCCAAAUGGAGAAACUAGCUG